rnacentral:rRNA from 1 species
UACGAAGGGUGCAAACGUUGCUCGGAAUUAUUGGGCGUAAAGCGCACGUAGGCGGCUUAGUAAGUCGGAAGUGAAAGCCCUUGGCUCAACCAAGGAAGUGCUUUCGAAACUGCUGAGCUUGAGUAGUUAAGAGGAUCGCGGAAUUCCCGGUGUAGAGGUGAAAUUCGUAGAUAUCGGGAGGAACACCAGUGGCGAAGGCGGCGAUCUGGGAACAUACUGACGCUGAGGUGCGAAAGCGUGGGGAGCAAACAGG